CAAAUCUGUGCGUGGUUGUCCUGGCUUUGAACAUCAUCAGGAUUCUGCCGAGAUUCCCUCCUUCUCGUAAAAUGUUUUGUCCUAGGGAGGGAGAGGGAGCCCGUGCAGCCGUACCGGUCGGGGAGCAGGGGCUGUGCCGAGGGCGGUGGUUUCUGCUGACUCACUGGGCGCCGUCAGCCCUUACGGGAACACAGACCGGCUUAUCUGAACCACGGACAGAUGUCAUUUCAUGUUAGCGGACAAACCUCCAAAAUGAUCGAAGACGACUGCCCCAGCCCCCGACAGCACUGGCAGCAGAGACCUGCGCAGUUCUCCUUGGCAACCGUCAGCUCGCUGUCAUUCCUGACACACGCCAGCGUGUGUUGCGGGCAGGAACGGGCGCGCCAACUGCGGUACCGCGGGGAAGGGAUGAACUGCCAAUACGAUCCACAACGUGGAAGAAUCUCAGAAGAACUCUGGUCACUGAGAGAAGUCACACAAAAAGUGUCCCUACUGUGUGGUUUGGCUUGUGUAGCAUUCUAGGAAAUGCACAGUAACCCAUGGCGGUAGGGGC